ACACAAUAUCUUUUAAUGUACGUCCAUUAUAGAUUUCAAAUCAAAAAUGGAAAUAAACCGUAAAAUAUUAUCAGUAUAGCAGCUUUAACGUUAUGAUAAUUCAGUUUUUCGACGAGUCUUCGGCAUAAUUUAGAUCUACUUUAUCUAAAUAAUUUUAAAAGUAAAUAACAUCAAUGACCUCGAAAUCAAACUAUAAAUAACUCUCCGCGAUGUACAUGUACUCUCGAUUCCUUUAUCGGGUACGCAUUACACAGCUAUGCUAAACAGGAACGGGAACCAAAUGCAUCUAAUUUUAGAUCCACGCAUGCGUAGACACUGACACGUGCAGAUUUGACAGAUCGCGCGAGUUAGAGGGAGAUAACUACUGAUGCAAAAUAAAUGCAUAGGUUGCUGACAUCUUCGCUUUUCCGUACUUUAUUUAUAAAUGGUCCCGUGUGUUCGGGAUGAAUACAACUUACUCGGGAAAAUGAAUGUACGAAAAACAAAGAAAAAUGGAAAUACAAGCAGAUUUAAUUCAUUGUUUAACGGGCAGGAAGCACACAAAUGAGACAUGUAAGCUAUCGCACCAAUUACGUAUACAGCUGAACUGCUGCAGAAUUGUGGUUAACCAAAUAUGGAACAAUACAGAACUGAAUAGCUUAAACUAAUUGGAGUUACCUGGUGAAUAUAUCUUGUCUGGAUAAACAUUACAGUAUCAGUUCAGUGUGGUGUGAAAGCCAGCCUUGUAGGUUUAUGUGUACAAGUUUUCUACAGUCUCGAGUGAAAUAGUAAUUUUACGCGCCAUGGGAACUCUGACAAUAUUUGAAUAUAUGUUAUGAAAAUAUUUCAUGUAUCUAAGAGAACUGAAAUAAAUUUAGGGUUGAAAUAGAACAAACAUUAACUCUAACAAUUUAUGUGUUGCUUCAUGUGUGCUAUAUUAUAGUAAUACCGUAAAAAAUCAUAUUUGUUGAUCCAUGUUAAAUACAUGUCUAUUGAUAUUAUUGAUGCAUGUUAUAUGAUUUAAUCAUUCCCUUUUCAUUCAACUUCUCAUUAUCUUCUUUUCCUUUCUUUGUCGUGUCUGCGGAAAAUUCUUAUGCUUGGAGGCGAUCGAGGGUAUCAGAUAGGAACAGGGGCAUUAAAUACAAUAAUUAAAAUCUCUUUUGCAUACACAUGAGUCUCCAAGCCUGUCAGAGCUGUUAACUUUGAAGGCAUUGGCCUCAUGUGGCUAAAACAUUAUAGUUUUUUGGGACUAGGUUUUGGUUUAAGAACUGGCCAGAGCGAAAAGGGCUAGCCGUUCUUAUAGUAACUCCCCCAUUUUUAUAGGAAUAUUUCGUAGUAGGUUUAGUAGGAAUUACACAACGUUGCGCCAGUGGUUCUAUAUUGGUACCAGUGGGGUACCUGGUGUUAUUAUGGUACCAUUGGGGUACCUGGUGUUAUUAUGGUACCAUUGGGGUACCUGGUGUUAUUUUGGUACCAUUGGGGUACCUGGUGUUAUUAUGGUACUAACGGAGUACCUGGUUCUAUUACGGUACCAACGGGGUACCUGGUAUUAUUUCAUAGCACGAGAGGAGCGUGCUUGGUAAGUAUAAAUAAUCGGGGGCGCAACGGGGAUUGGUUUUCUUCAUUAUAUGCCCUUGGUUGUCUCCAUGUAUGAGAAUUUUUCAGUUUCAAUAGCUGUUAACUAUUGAAACUACUGCGGACAUGACCAUUUUGCUCCAUUUUAUUCUGAAUUGAAUCUGCUAUGCUUAAAUUAGAAUGAUGUUUUGGUUUACAUGAUAUUAUAAUUUAUUAAAUGGAAAAAACUUA